GUCUGCAGACACAGCCCCGAGCAGGGAGGGGCUCAAGGCGCCCAGCGACGUGUGACACCCUCUCCGCCGCCCGGCCGCAGGCCUCAGCCUGGCCACGGCGGGACCUCACCCGUGCGCUGCUGACGCCCCCGGGCCCAGGCUGGGGGGUGGCCUCCCCCUGGCGGGCACCCGACCUGGAGGCCACGCUGCUCCGUGUCAGCUCUCCGUGGUUCUCCGGGCUUCGGGGUGGCCGGAGAAGUUGCUGGGAAGAGGGGCGACUCCUCCAUCACGGGCAGACUCUGAGACGCAGUGAGAAACAGUAUCGACACAAUUAAGCGUUCGAAGUGCUUAGCUUGCCUCGCGCUAAGUUUACUUAAACCUCUUUAACGGGUUCAUUAGAAGCCGGUGCUCACCGGGAAAUUCAUCACCGGGAAGGCGGCCCCGCGUUUGCCUGUAAAUUGGUAUUGAUCAGGCCUGGUGGGGGCCGGGCAGGUGCCACCGGGAGCCAGGUGGGCCGGGCCGCGUCGCCGGGCGGGCAGUGCUCGGUGGCCCCCGGGCGCCCGUGUGACCGCCCGCUGCUGCGAGCAUCUUUCAGGUGGCCCCGGCAGAGGCGGUGACACGCCAGGAGUGCAGAGGAGAGGGAGAGGGCGAAGAAGGGAGGGAGGGAGCCGGAGGA
rnacentral:lncRNA from 1 species